UUCGGGUAACCGUUGAGGGAAUCGUGAAGAGGGGAAAUCAAGGGGUGGGAGGUUUGAUUUUGGGUGAUUAGGUUUUUGACCAGAACUUUGAUCGAGGAUUCGACACACUCAACCAUUACUUGAGGGGAAACGGUUAGGUAUUCAUAGAGAGGGAACGAAAAGGAGUUUGGGGUGUUAUUUCGGAGCAGUUUGGAGUGGUUUAAGUCUUGGACCAAAUUUUGAUUUACGAUUAGAGAAAAUCAAGCUUGAUUUGAGGGAAACUAAAUGGAUAUAUGCAAUUGGGAGAUAUGGGGGAAUUCAAGGUAUCAUUUUGGGACAGAUUGGACUACCAGAACUGCCGUGAGGCGAUUUCCAGUGGUGGUUUACGGUGAUGGUGGCGCAGGAAUGUAGGGCGGCUAGGGUUUUUGUCUUGAGAGAG
rnacentral:lncRNA from 1 species